UGCUGCUAAUACCCGAUGUGCCGGAAGGUGAAAGAUUUAUCGUCUGAAGAAGAGCUCGCGUCCGAUUAGCUAGUUGGUAGGGUAAAAGCCUACCAAGGCGACGAUCGGUAGCUGGUCUGAGAGGAUGACCAGCCACACUGGGACUGAGACACGGCCCAGACUCCUACGGGAGGCAGCAGUGGGGAAUUUUCCGCAAUGGGCGAAAGCCUGACGGAGCAAGACCGCGUGAGGGAGGAAGGCUCUUGGGUUGUAAACCUCUUUUCUCUGGGAAGAAGCUCUGACGGUACCAGAGGAAUCAGCAUCGGCUAACUCCGUGCCAGCAGCCGCGGUAAUACGGAGGAUGCAAGCGUUAUCCGGAAUUAUUGGGCGUAAAGCGUCCGUAGGUGGCAAUUCAAGUCUGCCGUUAAAACCAGUGGCUCAACCACUGACAGGCGGUGGAAACUGAAUAGCUAGAGUGUGGUAGGGGUAGAGGGAAUUCCCAGUGUAGCGGUGAAAUGCGUAGAGAUUGGGAAGAACACCGGUGGCGAAAGCGCUCUGCUGGACCACAACUGACACUCACAGGACGAAAGCUAGGGGAGCGAAAGGGAUUAGAUACCCC
rnacentral:rRNA from 1 species